rnacentral:lncRNA from 1 species
GUGGGUGAAUAUUUUGACACGUCAGUUAACUGGCUUCCCUGACUCUGAGUUUUCUCCUUUGCCUCUGGAAAAUAAUAUCCACAACACAAGGCACUUGUAACAAUACCAUUAGAAACUCUCUAUAAUGGCCUAGUACUCAGUAAGGAUUGAAGUUUUGGUGACUGUAGCUAUCAUUAUGAAUGCCAGUGGGCUAGUGAUAGUAAUAAUCAUGGACAAUCCAUUAGUUUAGCAUAGCUCUCAUAGAUCUACAGGUAACUAGGUCCACAGGAACCAUUCAAGUCAUUGGGCUAUGCACAGAUAUGAGGCUAUGUCCUCAUAUAUCCAGAUAUGAGGCAAUGUGAAGAGUCAGCAUAAGCUUCCCAGCACUUCUCCCUGCCAAGUUCUGCCUUUGGACAUAACAAAUGCUGUUUGAGCUCAGAUCCUGGAGAGGCUGACUGAAGAAUCACUGGUAACUGUGAAAUCUGAAAGUUCAAGUGGAGUAGCUGUGACAGAUACCUAUGAGAUCUGGAAUCCUGCACUAAAUGAGCCUACACUGAAGCAGUGGGCCAAGAGCCUGGAUGUUUGCAAGGUCAAGGUGCAAACUAGACAUGGGGAAUCGGUGAAGUGAACUCGAUCCUGAAACACAGCUCUGAGACAUCAAGUUCUUCCAUGUUCACCACUAAAGUAGAAGACAUCUCUAAGUUGUCAAGAAGCAAUUUCUUGGGUGUGCCUCCUUGGAAAAGAAGUUGCAAGAAAGCUGCUACUGUCGUAGAUUCAGAGAAGUUCAGGGAUGGGAACAUGGAAAAGAGAUGGAGGAUUAACAGUGAUGGAGCUGCAGUCCCUUGCGCCUGAGAGAAUAUCAACGCAACACAACUCCAUUUAAAGUUAAGCCUCACAGACUUUCACAGGUGCAGAGCCUUCUGUUUACAAGGCAGUGAAGAUAACAUAGUUGCAAACUCACAUGGGAUACGGCUGUCUGUCCGGCAUUAACUGAGAGGACUCCCAAGGGGGAAAGGAAAGGUGACCACCCGGAAUUACUUGACUUGACACAAAUGGAGUCAGGUUGGCUAUCACAACGUAAGGCUAAAUCCAUAUUCUUAAUAUAAGUCAUUACUAUGUGCAGUUAUUCUGAGGCUAUAGCUGCUCAUAAUCAAAG